UACGUAGGGUGCAAGCGUUAAUCGGAAUACUGGGCGUAAAGCGUGCGCAGGCGGUUGUGCAAGACAGAUGUGAAAUCCCCGGGCUCAACCUGGGAAUUGCAUUUGUGACUGCACGGCUAGAGUAUGGCAGAGGGGGGGUAGAAUUCCACGUGUAGCAGUGAAAUGCGUAGAGAUGUGGAGGAAUACCGAUGGCGAAGGCAGCCCCCUGGGCCAAUACUGACGCUCAUGCACGAAAGCGUGGGGGAGCAAAACAGG
rnacentral:rRNA from 1 species